CUCUCCCUUACACCAUAUGAAGUCCCAUGCCAUUGGAUUCUUUGCACCAUAUGAAGCCAUGCUAAAUGGGUUUUUUGCAUGAAGGGUUUCAUGCUAAAAGGCCACACCCCAAAGUCUUUUACAUGCCUGAAAAGUAGAAGAGGCGUCCAAGAGUUGGAUGCCCCCCAAAACUCUUCCAAAAAUCCCUAACUAAUGCCUAUUUAAGAGUAGUUUUUGGGAG
rnacentral:lncRNA from 1 species